rnacentral:lncRNA from 1 species
CCUAUUAUCUGCAGAAAGCUCAGGAAAAAUGAAACCUUCGCCUACCAUGGAGUUCCACUGGCCAAGAAAGGAAUGAGAAAUAGCUUAUUGAAAGGCAGUAGAUGCUUCAAACGAGUUGAUGGCAUAUAUAACAUCCUAUCAUCUAUUCUGAGUUGGAUAUGGUUUAGAGUAUGUGGUAUCUAUUUAUAGGAAAGGUUUGUUGGAUUAUAAUUAGUUAGUUCCUCCUUAUACUAUAGUCGAGUCAAUCCAUUACCAUCUUGUUGCACCAGAUUUUUGAUUUGAUCGUCGGAGGGUCCUCACCAAAGUCAAUUUUGG